UACGUAGGGGGCAAGCGUUGUCCGGAAUCAUUGGGCGCAAAGAGCGUGUAGGCGGUUCGAUAAGUCGGCUGUGAAAGUCCAGGGCUCAACCCUGGGAUGCCGGUCGAAACUGUCGGACUAGAGUUCGGAAGAGGCGAGUGGAAUUCCCGGUGUAGCGGUGAAAUGCGCAGAUAUCGGGAGGAACACCAAUGGCGAAGGCAGCUCGCUGGGACGUUACUGACGCUGAGACGCGAAAGCGUGGGGAGCAAACAGG
rnacentral:rRNA from 1 species